rnacentral:rRNA from 1 species
GCUUAACGCGAAGAACCUUACCUAGGCUUGACAUAUAGAUGACGACAUCAGAGAUGACAUUUCUCUUCGGAGCGUCUAUACAGGUGCUGCAUGGCUGUCGUCAGCUCGUGCCGUGAGGUGUUGGGUUAAGUCCCGCAACGAGCGCAACCCUUAUCAUUAGUUGCCAACAGUUCGGCUGGGGACGUCUAAUGAGACUGCCUGGGUUAACCAGGAGGAAGGUGAGGAUGACGUCAAGUCCGCAUGGCCCUUAUGUCUAGGGCUACACACGUGCUACAAUGGCCGGUACAGAAGGCAGCGAAACCGUGAGGUGUAGCAAAUCCUAUAAAGCCGGUCCCAGUUCGGAUUGUAGUCUGCAACUCGACUACAUGAAGUUGGAAUUGCUAGUAAUGGCGUGUCAGCAACAACGCCGUGAAUACGUUCCC